AUUGAACGCUGGCGGCAUGCCUUACACAUGCAAGUCGAACGGCAGCACGGGAGCAAUCCUGGUGGCGAGUGGCGAACGGGUGAGUAAAGUAUCGGAACGUGCCCAGUCGUGGGGGAUAACGUAGCGAAAGUUACGCUAAUACCGCAUACGAUCUAUGGAUGAAGGCGGGGGAUCGCAAGACCUCGCGCGAUUGGAGCGGCAGAUAUCAGAUUAGGUAGUUGGUGGGGUAAAGGCUCACCAAGCCGACGAUCUGUAGCUGGUCUGAGAGGACGACCAGCCACACUGGGACUGAGACACGGCCCAGACUCCUACGGGAGGCAGCAGUGGGGAAUUUUGGACAAUGGGCGAAAGCCUGAUCCAGCCAUGCCGCGUGCAGGAUGAAGGCCUUCGGGUUGUAAACUGCUUUUGUACGGAACGAAAAGGUUUGGCCUAAUAAGCUGAGCUCAUGACGGUACCGUAAGAAUAAGCACCGGCUACUACGUGCCAGCCGCCGCAGUAAUAC
rnacentral:rRNA from 1 species